CCAAUGCAUGCUUUUACAGUAUGAAAAUUGGUGAUUUAUAAUAACUUAGCAAAUCGCAUAGUGAAAACAGGCGAUAAAUCAUUCAAGUUUCUGACCUAUCAGCUUUCGACGGUAUGGUAUUGGCUUACCGUGGCAGUGACGGUUAACGGGGGAUUAGGGUUCGAUUCCGGAGAGGGAGCCUGAGAAACGGCUACCACAUCUAAGGAAGGCAGCAGGCGCGCAAAUUACCCAAUUCUAACAGUUUGAGAGAGGUAGUAACAAGAAAUAACAAUACAAGGCAGUUAAAAUGCUUUGUAAUUGGAAUGAUAGAAAUUUAAACCCUUUUUAAAGUAUCAAUUGGAGGGCAAGUCUGGUGCCAGCAGCCGCGGUAAUUCCAGCUCCAAUAGCGUAUAUUAAAAUUGUUGCAGUUAAAAAGCUCGUAGUUGAAGUUCUGCUAAAAGUAACCGGUCUGCUUUGAAUAAAAGUGGUAUCUUGGUAUGUAUUUAGCAAUGAUGUCCUUUGAAGUGUUUUUUACUUUAUUGUAAUAAAGCAUAUUCAGGACUUUUACUUUGAGAAAAUUAGAGUGUUUCUAGCAGGCCAACGCUUUGAAUACUGCAGCAUGGAAUAAUAAG
rnacentral:rRNA from 1 species